rnacentral:rRNA from 1 species
CGGACGGGUGAGUAACACGUGGAUAACCUACCUAUAAGACUGGGAUAACUUCGGGAAACCGGAGCUAAUACCGGAUAAUAUAUUGAACCGCAUGGUUCAAUAGUGAAAGACGGUUUUGCUGUCACUUAUAGAUGGGUCCGCGCCGCAUUAGCUAGUUGGUAAGGUAACGGCUUACCAAGGCAACGAUGCGUAGCCGACCUGAGAGGGUGAUCGGCCACACUGGAACUGAGACACGGUCCAGACUCCUACGGGAGGCAGCAGUC